AGCUUGUUGGUGAGGUAAUGGCUCACCAAGGCGACGACGGGUAGCCGGCCUGAGAGGGCGACCGGCCACACUGGGACUGAGACACGGCCCAGACUCCUACGGGAGGCAGCAGUGGGGAAUAUUGCACAAUGGGCGGAAGCCUGAUGCAGCGACGCCGCGUGAGGGAUGACGGCCUUCGGGUUGUAAACCUCUUUCAGUAGGGAAGAAGCGAAAGUGACGGUACCUACAGAAGAAGCGCCGGCUAACUACGUGCCAGCAGCCGCGGUAAUACGUAGGGCGCGAGCGUUGUCCGGAAUUAUUGGGCGUAAAGAGCUCGUAGGCGGCUUGUCGCGUCGGAUGUGAAAGCCCGGGGCUUAACCCCGGGUCUGCAUUCGAUACGGGCAGGCUAGAGUUCGGUAGGGGAGAUCGGAAUUCCUGGUGUAGCGGUGAAAUGCGCAGAUAUCAGGAGGAACACCGGUGGCGAAGGCGGAUCUCUGGGCCGAUACUGACGCUGAGGAGCGAAAGCGUGGGGAGCGAACAGGAUUAGAUACCCUGGUAGUCCACGCCGUAAACGGUGGGAACUAGGUGUUGGCGACAUUCCACGUCGUCGGUGCCGCAGCUAACGCAUUAAGUUCCCCGCCUGGGGGAGUACGGAA
rnacentral:rRNA from 1 species